AUUGAACGCUGGCGGAAUGCUUUACACAUGCAAGUCGAACGGUAGAGGGGCAACCCUCGAGAGUGGCGAACGGGUGAGUAAUGUAUCGGAACAUGCCCAACCGUGGGGGAUAACGUAGCGAAAGUUACGCUAAUACCGCAUACGAUCUACGGAUGAAAGCGGGGGAUCGCAAGACCUCGCGCGAUUGGAGUGGCCGAUAUCAGAUUAGGUAGUUGGUGGGGUAAAGGCCUACCAAGCCGACGAUCUGUAGCUGGUCUGAGAGGACGACCAGCCACACUGGGACUGAGACACGGCCCAGACUCCUACGGGAGGCAGCAGUGGGGAAUUUUGGACAAUGGGCGCAAGCCUGAUCCAGCCAUUCCGCGUGCAGGAAGAAGGCCUUCGGGUUGUAAACUGCUUUUGUACGGAACGAAACGCGCUGUGCUAAUACCACGGCGUAAUGACGGUACCGUAAGAAUAAGCACUGGCUAACUACGUGCCAGCCGCCGCGGUAA
rnacentral:rRNA from 1 species